rnacentral:rRNA from 1 species
GAUGAACGCUAGCGACAGGCCUAACACAUGCAAGUCGAGGGGCAGCACGAAUCAAGCUUGCUUGAUUUGGUGGCGACCGGCGCACGGGUGCGUAACAGGUGUGCAAUCUGUCCAUAAUCGGGGAAUAGCCCAGCGAAAGUUGGAUUAAUGCUCCAUGUGAGCAGGGGAGCAUCUCCUUUGUUUGAAACGUAAGGAUUAUGGGUGAGCACGCUUCUGAUUAGGUAGUUGGUGAGGUAACGGCUCACCAAGCCGACGAUCAGUAGGGGUUCUGAGAGGAAGGUCCCCCACAUUGGAACUGAGACACGGUCCAAACUCCUACGGGAGGCAGCAGUGAGGAAUAUUGGUCAAUGGACGAAGUCUGAACCAGCCAAGUCGCGUGAAGGAUG